rnacentral:rRNA from 1 species
CACGUAGGGUGCGAGCGUUUGUCCGGAAUUAUUGGGCGUAAAGAGCUCGUAGGCGGUCUGUCGCGUCGGCUGUGAAAUCCCGAGGCUCAACCUCGGGUCUGCAGUCGAUACGGGCAAACUGGAGUGUUGCAGGGGAGACUGGAAUUCCUGGUGUAGCGGUGAAAUGCGCAGAUAUCAGGAGGAACACCGGUGGCGAAGGCGGGUCUCUGGGCCGAUACUGACGCUGAGGAGCGAAAGCGUGGGGAGCGAACAGG